rnacentral:rRNA from 1 species
GUCUGGUGGCGAUAGAGAAGAGGUCACACCCGUUCCCAUACCGAACACGGAAGUUAAGCUCUUCAGCGCCGAUGGUAGUUGGGGGCUUCCCCUGUAAGAGUAGGAAGUUGCCAGGC